CCCAGACUCCUACGGGAGGCAGCAGUGGGGAAUAUUGCACAAUGGGGGAAACCCUGAUGCAGCGACGCCGCGUGAGUGAGGAAGUAUUUCGGUAUGUAAAGCUCUAUCAGCAGGGAAGAAAAUGACGGUACCUGACUAAGAAGCCCCGGCUAACUACGUGCCAGCAGCCGCGGUAAUACGUAGGGGGCAAGCGUUAUCCGGAUUUACUGGGUGUAAAGGGAGCGUAGACGGCUAGUCAAGUCAGAAGUGAAAGCCCAGGGCUCAACCUUGGGACUGCUUUUGAAACUGAGUAGCUAGAGUGCAGGAGAGGUAAGCGGAAUUCCUAGUGUAGCGGUGAAAUGCGUAGAUAUUAGGAGGAACACCAGUGGCGAAGGCGGCCUGCUGGACGACAACUGACGGUGAGGCGCGAAAGCGUGGGGAGCAAACAGGAUUAGAUACCCCGGUAC
rnacentral:rRNA from 1 species